rnacentral:misc_RNA from 1 species
UUGGAGUGGUUGUUUUGGAAGUAGUGUGAACGGGAUUGUGUUUGGGGUGGAUCGAUCAUUUCAGGUGAUGGAUUGCCCCACUUGUUAACCACUUUACCAUUUCUUGAUUACCUGGGAUCACUCCCAUGGGAUAAAA